AUCUAUUGGCACCUGCCUCUUUGCAAAUUAGCCUUUAUAUAAUAUUGGGCCGGCUCUAGCCGGUUUUCCCCAUGUGCAAUAGCUCCGGUGUGCGGUGGAUUUUUAUGCUUUCCUAUGAACCAACGAUCACUACCAAGAGUGGGAUGCUGAGCGUCUGAUCUGGGAUGACACAUCUUCUUCAUGUGGCUGUGACUGCAUCAUACAGACAUGGGCCUCAGAAGGCAUUGACCCUAGUGUCUUAGGCACCCAAGGAGAACACUUUGAGCAGUAAGAGGUUGUUGAAAUUGCUUGCACCAACAACAGAGGGAGACUUACUCCCUCUCUUAGCCAGUGUCCUAGAAUCAUAGAAAAAUCAGGUUGAAUGCGAUCUCAAGCUGUCAUUAAGUCUAGCUCCCUUGUGCCGAGGCAGGAGGAAGUAAACCGAGAUCAUCCUUCACAGCCGUUUGUCCAACCUGUUCUUCAAAACCUCCAGUGACGGGGAUUCCACAGUCUUCUUGGGAAGCUGACCCAACCUUUACCGACCCUGGUCGUUAGAAAGCCUUUCCUAACCUCUAACUGAAAUCCCCCUUAUUGCAGAGUAAGACUGUUAUUUCCUGUGGAUGUGGAGAACAAUGGAUCCCCGUCAUGGCGAUGGCAGAGGUUGACAUGUUUCAGGACUACUGCCAUGCUUGCUUCAGUCUUCCUGUCUCAGGCCUAACCGGGGCCAGUUUUGUUAACGCUUUCUCUCAGUUUCUGGGGGAGUAAGAAAAGUGUGUUGAAAUGUUCUGCUUUGGGGGAGGUUUGGGAUAAACAUUUCCCAGUGAGCUCUGCCACAUGUAUGCCGAGCCAGCGCUGCAACCCCCCUGGAAGACAGCUGCGACCCCCGUGGGGGGACACAACCCACGGGUUGUGCACUGCUGCUCCAGGUUAGGAAUCCUGUCAGAGAAAAAAUCCGGCUGGUUGGGCAGUCCCCGCUGGCUUUUCCUUAGACCUGUGAUCCUGUGUGUAGAGUUAAGGCUUAGAAAAGGUGCAGGCUGAGAGAGUCUGUCCAGGUUGGUAUUGCAGAGGGUGAACUUGGCAGAAGCAUAAAUAGCAGCUGGGCACACAACUGAAAAAUCCUUCCUCCCCACCAUGGUCUUUUGGCUGCAGUCCUUGCUCAGUGGGUGCACAGGAAAAAAUCUCUUUCUGGUGUCAGUGAGUUUGACCUGAAACAGCGGCUGAGAACACAUGGGGAGGGUCCGCAGCGAUGCUCAUUAGCAGCCAGCCGCAGGGCUGUGGGCUGUAGACCAGCCACAGAUAGACUGAGGCUAGCAGGAGCAGUUUAAUGGGUGUGUUUUCCUUUUGCAGCUCACGCGCUGUUCUGCUUCAGCUGUGAGGAUUCCGCCUCCAACUGGGGCUGUCUGAGCCCAGUCGCGUGUCCAAGUGAGGCAAACUACUGUGUGACCACAUAUGUGGGGGCAACAAUUGGUGGACAAUCGGGUCAGAGCAUCUCCAAAGGGUGCGCUCCCGUUUGCCCCAGCGCUGGGAUAAACCUCGGGGUACUGGCUGCUUCGAUUUCCUGCUGCAGUUCUUUCUUGUGCAACAUCAGUGGGGCCAGCAGCGUGAAAGUCAGCUACAUGGUGCUGGCCACAGCCCUCUUGGCCCUCUUCGUCUCUCUCCGGGCCGGACUGUGAUGGGACCAGGAAAAAUUAAUUUGAUGCCCUGAAGAACUUUCUCCAGCGAGACACCAAACCCCCCUCUGUGCAGAGCUGUCCUGGGGUUACCGAUGGUGCCACUUCUUGCAAACUCUGUCUCAGUUAUGAUUAGACAAGACCUCCCCUGCUGCUGCCGGGGUGCCUCUCGGCAAAUCUGUAUUGUUUUCUCCCGUGUGUUGGGUGCGGGAGGCGCAGCUGAAGAGCACUGCCCCCCUCGGGACGUGCCUUCUUGUACCCUCGGCCUGUCAGGAAAGGGGGGAUAAUGUUGCCUGGGUUUCUGCUUUUAUACCCCUAGUCCCAGUUGAUGAGGUUGAGUUUUUAAAAAAAAAAAAAAAAGGAUCCAAGCUCACCGGGAAAUGUUUCUCCCAAACCACCCCCAAAGCAGAACAUUUCAACUCACCUUUCUUACUCCCGCAGAGACAUUGCCUAUACACGUCCUGCUCGGGAUCAGCACCAGACUGAGUGCUGGGAAGCCAAAAUAUAUUCCCACUCUCCCAGCUAGAGUUUGGUUUGUUUACACUGUUUCCCUUCUCCUGCGCCUUGGUUGACUUUUCUGAUGUACAGUGACUGCAGUGCACGCCCUGUGGUGAUUGAGCAUCACACUGAAUAAACACAUUCCUGUUCUUGCUUGGG